rfam:Williamsia sp. 1138 304, whole genome shotgun sequence.
AGCGGUCUUCGGUAGUGGCUCCCGGAACGCAGAUCGGCGUCCGGCAGCUUCGAUCGAUGGCCGUC